GCAGUCGAGCGACAGAUAAGGAGCUUGCUCCUUUGACGUUAGCGGCGGACGGGUGAGUAACACGUGGAUAACCUACCUAUAAGACUGGGAUAACUUCGGGAAACCGGAGCUAAUACCGGAUAACAUAUUGAACCGCAUGGUUCAAUAGUGAAAGGCGGCUUUGCUGUCACUUAUAGAUGGAUCCGCGCCGUAUUAGCUAGUUGGUAAGGUAACGGCUUACCAAGGCAACGAUACGUAGCCGACCUGAGAGGGUGAUCGGCCACAUUG
rnacentral:rRNA from 1 species